rnacentral:snRNA from 1 species
CCAUCACAAGGAUGUCAUACAUA